rnacentral:piRNA from 1 species
ACCAUGUACGUACACUCAGUAUU